UAGACUCCUUAAGGACCCUAUAGGACCCCACAGAGACCCCAUACAGACCCUAUAAGCCCUCUCAGACCCCAUAAGGACCCCAUAAGACCCCAUUGGACCCCAUAGAGACCCUAUAAGCCCUCUCAGACCCCAUAAGGACCCCAUAAGACCCCAUUGGACCCCAUAGAGACCCUAUAAACCCUCUCAGACCCCAUAAGGACCCCAUAAACUCUCUCAGAUCCCAUAAAGACCCCAUAAGACCCCAUAGAGACUCCAAAAGGACCCCAUAAGACCCCAUAAAGACCCUAUAAGCCCUCUCAGACCCCAUAAGGACCCCAUAAAGCUCCCAUAGGACCCCAUAGAGACCCUAUAAACCCUUUUAGACCCCAUAAGGACCCUAUAGGACCCCAUACAGACUCUAUAAGCCCUCUCAGACCCCAAAAGGACCCCAUAAGACCCCAUAGGACCCCAUAGAGACCCUAUAAACCCUCUCAGACCCCAUAGAGACCCCAUAGAGACCCCAGUGGGACCCUACAACACCCCCGACCCCACAGAACCCCAUAGGGACCCCAUAAGAACCCAACUAGCGCCCCAAUUAAGGCCCCGUUAAGACCCCAAUUAAAACCCCAUUAAGACCCCAAAUUAAAACCCCAUUAAGACCCCAUUGAGGUAGGAAAGGUCCUCCAAGACCAUAGAGUUGGGGGGCUCGGAAAGGUCCUCCAAGACCAUAGAGUUGGGGGGCUCGGAAAGGUCCUCCAAGACCAUAGAGUUGGAGAGGGGUGGGCUCGGAAAGGUCCUCCAAGACCAUAGAGAUGGUCCACCUGGGCUAAUUAACGCCACCUGGAGCUAAUUAACUGCACCUGCUGCUCCCCACUGCCCCCCGUUCGGCCUUCAUUAACACGCGGCUAAUUAACAAAGCCACCACGACCCCCAUUCAAAAGCAUAGGAGAGUUUUAAGCCCAUUCCACGCCGCUUUUUGGCCUUCAAAGCCAUUCAAACGCGCUCAGCUCCAAUAAGGGCUGCUUAAUUAACCCCGUUUUAAUUAACCCCCCACAUUAGCCCCUAAUUAACAGCAAGAAACCCAACAAAGCGACAACUCUAUGCUCAAACCCCUUUGCAGCCCGGCAAACAACACGAAACCCGACAAAAGCGGGCUAGCUGAGGGUCAGAAAUGCUAAUUAGCCGCCAAUUAAUUGCUAAUUAAGCACCGAAUAACCGCAGUUAAUUACCCGGAUAACGGUCCGUCCCUGAGCCGCUCCAACGCGCGUUUAAUGGCACCGCCCCGCGCCGCCCCCUUUUAUACCCUCCGCCGGCGCCGGAAGUGACGCCAUCAGCGCUGCGACGCAGCCGGAAGUGCCGCUCCAAAAUGGCGGCGCGCAGCGCUGAGAGCUCCGUAACGAAGCGGGACGGCGUGCGGACGAUUCCCGGUGCUCUUUCAGCGCCGCGAUCGGUGCCGGAGGGGCGUUUCGCAUCCCGGACAGCACCGAUUUCCCCCUCAGCAGCGGCAGAGCGGCGUCUGUGGGCGCCAAAGAGAGCGGGAAGGGCGUUAAUGUGGAACUAUAGGGGCUCUGCGCAUGCGCAGUGCGGCGCCGUCAAGCUUGGCGCAUGCGCGGUGCGGCUGCCGGCUCGGCGCAUGCGCAGUGGGUCGUUGAAGC
ensembl:lncRNA